CGUGCACGUGCGCGUGCGUUCGCGCGAUCCACUCACUUGCAGAGCAGUGUGCUUCAUAGACUUGCUUCUGAUUUGUUGAAGGAGUAGCUGUUACAAAGAACGUCUGCUCAAGGACCCAUAGGCAGAAGAUAACGUCAUUAAUACUUGUUUUCAUAAAAGAUAGAAAGGACUGCUAGUUGCCUACCGAAUAUGUUUUCCAUUUCUUCUUUCCUAACAAAAACCUAAUUUGAGGACGGGGGCUGUGGGAGAGCCCAUUACUGUGAAGUUUAAGAACAUGAAGAACAAGAGGUCUGCUACAUCCACGGCCUGGGAAUCGUAUAGAACUCGAAGCUCAGCUCUGUCUCCUACCAGCUGUGUGCUUCUGGGCAAUGUAAUUAACCUUCCUGAGCCUCAGUUUCUUUCUUUGGAAAUGGUUGUAAUCAUCCUACCUUGCAGGCCUGUUGUACGGAUUGUUUUAAGAAUAGAUGAAACCUGAAGAAUUGAUUAAAAACCUUGUUCC